rnacentral:lncRNA from 1 species
UGGCGGUUCUCUGGAGACUGAGUACCCUUCGCGGUGCCCAAGGAGGCUGAGCUCUGUUGCUGCGAACCCCAGUGGUCACACCUGCUCCUAUCUCAGCAUUACUUCAGAACCGACCUACCCCCGAAUGGUGUGGAGUGAGUACAUUGGCUUGUCACCAAGCCACCAUUCUGGUUCCCAGGUUGCGUCUCUCCACUGGACUAGUGAGAGGGUCGUCAGUGUUUUGCUCCUGGGCCUGCUUCCAGCUGCUUAUUUGAAUCCUUGGCUCUGUGACGGACUCUACUCCUUGCUGCAACCCUCACUCUUCAUAGUUACUCGGGCCUUGGACAAGUUGUUACUGACUAUGUUCAUGGGGAUGCCUUGCAGAAAGCUCCCAAGGCAGAGCUUCUGGCACUUUCAGCUUUAACCUUUGCUGGGCUUUGCUAUUUCAACUACCAUGAUGUGGGCAUCUGCAAAGCUGUUGCCACGCUGUGGAAG